rnacentral:rRNA from 1 species
AGUGAACGCUGGCGGUAGGCCUAACACAUGCAAGUCGAACGGCAGCACAGUAAGAGCUUGCUCUUACGGGUGGCGAGUGGCGGACGGGUGAGGAAUACAUCGGAAUCUACUUUUUCGUGGGGGAUAACGUAGGGAAACUUACGCUAAUACCGCAUACGACCUACGGGUGAAAGCAUGGGAUCUUCGGACCUUGCGCGAUUGAAUGAGCCGAUGUCGGAUUUGCUAGUUGGCGGGGUAAAGGCCCACCAAGGCGACGAUCCGUAGCUGGUCUGAGAGGAUGAUCAGCCACACUGGAACUGAGACAAGGUCCAGACGCCUAGGGGAGGGAGCAGUGGGGAAUAUUGGACGAUGGGCGCAAGCCUGAUCCAGCCAUACCGCGUGGGUGAAGAAGGCCUUCGGGUUGUAAAGCCCUUUUGUUGGGAAAGAAAAGCAGCAGGUUAAUACCCCGCUGUUCUGACGGUACCCAAAGAAUAAGCACCGGCUAACUUCGUG